rnacentral:rRNA from 1 species
GACGAACGCUGGCGGCGUGCCUAACACAUGCAAGUCGAACGGAAAGGCCCUAAUUGUUUGCUUUGCUGGGGUGGCGAACGGGUGUGUAACACGUGAGUAACCUGCCCUUUACUUUGGGAUAACUUCACGAAACUGGGGCUAAUACAGAACAGGAGCUCCUCCUGCAUGGAGGUGGUUGGAAAGUUUCGGCGGUGGGGGAUGGACUCGCGGGUUAUCAGCUUGUUGGUGGGGUAGUGGCUUACCAAGGCUUUGACGGGUAGCCGGCCUUAGAGGGUGACCGGCCCCAUUAGGACUGAGAUACGGCCCAGACUCCAACGGGAGGCAACGGAGGAGAAUAUUGUACAGCGGGCGGAAGGCUGAUGCAGCGACGCCGCGUGCGGGAAGACGUCCUGCGGGUUGAGAACCGCAGCCGCCUGUGACGAAGCGUUAGUGACGGUAACGGGUAAAGAAGCACCGGCUAACUACGUG